ACGAACGCUGGCGGCGUGCUUAACACAUGCAAGUCGAACGGUGAAGCGCCUUCCUUUUUGGUGGGUGUGGAUGAGUGGCGAACGGGUGAGUAACACGUGAGUAACCUGCCCCCUUCUUCUGGAUAACCGCAUGAAAGUGUGGCUAAUACGGGAUAUUCUGGGUCUGUCGCAUGAUGGGUCUGGGAAAGAUAUUGUUUCGGUGGGGGAUGGGCUCGCGGCCUAUCAGCUUGUUGGUGGGGUGAUGGCCUACCAAGGCGGUGACGGGUAGCCGGCCUGAGAGGGUGGACGGUCACACUGGGACUGAGGCACGGCCCAGACUCCUACGGGAGGCAGCAGUGGGGAAUAUUGCACAAUGGGCGCAAGCCUGAUGCAGCGACGCCGCGUGAGGGAUGGAGGCCUUCGGGUUGUGAACCUCUUUCGCCAGUGAAGCAGGCCUGCCUCGUUUGUGGGUGGGUUGACGGUAGCUGGAUAAGAAGCGCCGGCUAACUACGU
rnacentral:rRNA from 1 species